rnacentral:rRNA from 1 species
AUGAACGCUGGCGGCGUGCCUAAUCCAUGCAGGUCGAGCGAACAGACGAGGAGCUUGCUCCUCUGACGUUAGCGGCGGACGGGUGAGUAACACGUGGAUAACCUACCUAUAAGACUGGGAUAACUUCGGGAAACCGGAGCUAAUACCGGAUAAUAUAUUGAACCGCAUGGUUCAAUAGUGAAAGACGGUUUUGCUGUCACUUAUAGAUGGAUCCGCGCCGCAUUAGCUAGUUGGUAAGGUAACGGCUUACCAAGGCAACGAUGCGUAGCCGACCUGAGAGGGUGAUCGGCCACACUGGAACUGAGACACGGUCCAGACUCCUACGGGAGGCAGCAGUAGGGAAUCUUCCGCAAUGGGCGAAAGCCUGACGGAGCAACGCCGCGUGAAUGAUGAAGGUCUUCGGAUCGUAAAACUCUGUUAUUAGGGAAGAACAAAUGUGUAAGUAACUAUGCACGUCUUGACGGUACCUAAUCAGAAAGCCACGGCUAACUACGUG